UUUUCUUAUCUGUCAAAUGGGCAGCUCUGCAACUAAAACACUUUGAGGUUCUCUUAAUAGAAGCACCAAGGCUGGGGAAGCUGUUGGUCCCAUGAGCUCUUCCACCACCCAGUGUUGGCAGGGACUGGAGAUAAGGAAUUUACAGCUGAAGAAAGCGAGUCUCAGAAAUGGAAGGAAUGGGGCCUAAGGUCACAAAGGCAGGAUCAUGGUGUCUUCAUGAGUUGGAUAUGUCUCAGAAUUACUUCGAUAUGACCCCACAACUCUAAAUAAACCACAGAUCCCAAGAGAGCCAGGGCUCAUGUGAUCCAAGUAUUUCAUUUUACAGAUGGGGAAACUGAGGUCCCGAGAGAGGAAAGAAUUUGCCUAAGGUCAUGUGGUGAGUCCCUAAAAGAACCAAGACUAUACUUCCAAAGCCAUAAUUCCCAUCUAGUGGAUUUCCCUUUACUUAUUCUAGGAUGCAUCCUGUUAAUCUGAAAAGAUUGCAGUUAUACGGGUAAGAUUGAGAAAGCUUUUAAAGAUGGUAUGGCCAUCGAAACAAGCAGAACCAGGGAUACAUUGUACACAAUAACAGCAAGAAUGUGUGAUGACCAAUCAUGAAAGACGUGGU